UACGGAAGGCAGCAGUGGGGAAUAUUGCACAAUGGGCGAAAGCCUGAUGCAGCUAUGCCGCGUGUAUGAAGAAGGCCUUAGGGUUGUAAAGUACUUUCAUCGGGGAGGAAAAACAAAACUAAUAAUUUUAUUUCUUGACGUUACCCGAAAAAGAAGCACCGGCUAACUCCGUGCCAGCAGCCGCGGUAAUACGGAGGGUGCUAGCGUUAAUCAGAAUUACUGGGCGUAAAGAGCACGUAGGUGGUUUUUUUAAGUCAGAUGUGAAAUCCCUGGGCUUAACCUAGGAACUGCAUUUUGAAACUGAAAUACUAGAGUAUCGUAGAGGGAGGUAGAAUUCUAGGUGUAGCGGUGAAAAUGCGUAGAUAUCUGGAGGAAUACCUGUGGCGAAAGCGGCCUCCUAAACGAAUACUGACACUGAGGUGCGAAAAGCGUGGGGAGCAAACAGGGAUUAGAUACC
rnacentral:rRNA from 1 species